rnacentral:tRNA from 1 species
GGCUCCGUCGCCUAACUGGUUAUGGCACCACUCUGUCACAGUGGAAUAGCACGGGUUCAAGUCCCGUCGGAGUCG